GUAUAGUUGUAAUGUUGUUACCCCUUUUUUUAACAGGAGCCCAUUCACCAACUCUCUGCUGUGGUAGCUGGGAGUCUGCUUUUGGGAAAAUUUCAGCCUGUUAGAAAGGUAAUCUAUUUCAUGCCAAUAUUUAGCUAUAUUAUUUUAACGCCAGUAACCCAAAAUAACAAUAAUUUGGUAUUGUAUGUUCUUCAGAGGAAAUUCCCUGUUGAAAAAAAGUGGAUUUGUCCUGUCCUGUAUGCGCUCAUUGGAUUUUAGUGAUUGUCCACAUUUCUGAGAGAACACUGGUGAUCAUCGAUCCCUUGAGUAACGAGGACAAAUAUGAGCAAAAUCUUGCGGAAUUGGAGGAACUUCUUGAGGUUGGCGGGCCGUGAGUUCCAAAUAGAAACUUGGACUACCAAAACUGUGGCCCAUAACAAGCAGCAGAACAACAGUAGCUGUGGGGUUUUCACAUUAAAGUUUGCGGAAGAGUAUAUGGCCAAUGGAGAUCACAGGCACAACCAGACCCACCUU